UACUGGCUGGUCUCUCUGCCGGGUCCAGGGUGCUGUCACAACUGAGCUGUAAUGUAACACCGAGCUGUAACAUUUUUCUGCAACAGUGGUAGCCAAUAGACAUUGAGAAAACAAAGUAGGGAGACUUUGCGAAGCUGCAGGAGUCGUCCAGGGAGGCGGAAGGAGGCUGUUCUAGGCUGGCAGUGCUCGAUGUGCGCAGAGACACGACCACCACACUCGAUCAGGCCGUAACGAACGAUCGUGGUCUGACUGCCCUACACAUUCUGACUCCACUGCGAAGAGGACUCGAGCCUCAGGCCGGAGCGCCGGGAGGCUGUCUUCAUUCUGCCUGGGGAGAACUGAGCAGAAGACCCAGCCAGCCAAGCCCAGGCUCCCGACCCCCCGGAAAUUUUGUGGUGGGUCUUCUCCCCUUGCCAGGAUGCAGGCAAGUCAAGUGCAUGCAGUUCCUCUCACCAGCUUCCAUGCUUGAAGCGGCAGCCCCAGUGGUUUCCUGCCCCACCUUCUUUUCAAGAGGCAGCAUUUUCUUAGCAGCAGCGGCCUGGGCAGGCGCAGGCCAGUUGGAACACAUCUUCGGCAGCUGACGUCGGCUGUACUGUUCAUGUCCUACUUCUGGGAACCCAGCGCACCCAAAGCGACAAGCACGAUCUUGUGGGUACAAGUAAGCACUAAGGUUUUACCCCA